CCUGAGGUUGCUCUGCCUCUGACAUAUGUCCAAGAUGGCGCCUGCUCUUUGUCUUGCUCACCUUUGAGAGGUGAGCGGAGAGAGAGAAACCCGUGUCCAUAUUAGUCACUUUUUUUUUUCUUUCUCUCUCUUCUAGUUAGCCUGGUGAACUUUUCCCCCCAGGGUCGUUCCCUCUAGUCUCCUCUUUCCGCUUGCCUGCUGGUGUCUCAGGCUAUUGAGGUUCGGCUCACCUCGUGUUCCAGUGCUGGUGUGUUGAGUCUGCCGCUGGUGUCCCGAACUAUGGGCUCCCAUGCUCUCCACGCAGGUCCACUGUGAAUCCCGCGUUCCGGAAGAGUUUUCUCUGCUGUUUCUUCCCCUACUCUUCCUUGAACCUGCAGUAUCUCCACUUUUAUUAAACUGUCUCUCCCCGGACUAUCAGUGUGCUCCCUUCCUAUUCCACCACCUUGCCACUCCAAUUUCAUCAUAACUACUUUUAAAUAUUUUUGUGAAAAUACAAAUUAUUUCUGAGUUUUUACAUUUCAAAUUGUCUAAGAGUUGAAUUGCAAAUAGUUUUCAGAGAGGAUUGAAUAUUUUAAUGCUACUUUCAUUUCACAAAGAAUGAGCAAAGAAAUAAAUAUGAGAUUAAAAAAUAAGAAAGGUUUGACAGAGAUCCUAUCAAUCACCUUCCCCCAAAGUUCAGUUCAUGUUUGUUUGAACAACAAAAAUAUCAGUGAUGAAGGGUAGUAUCUAGCUGUGGAGGCAUUUCAUGUUUGUUUCUUUUCUUUUUCUUCUAUUCAUAAAGAAAACAAGUCCAGAUGAAAAUUAAAAUUCAAAACUUUACUUUUAUUGCAAAUCCAUGACAGCUGAAUCAAAGAAAUCUGUUGGUUUAUAAAGCCAAUUCACAGGGAAGGAUUUUAAUAUCAAGUUGCCCUGAGGCAAAGGCAUCCUUCAAUGGGAUUCACUCCAAGAAAAGAAUCAUGGACAAUUAGAAAUAAUCACUUCCUCCAUGCCUAGAAGUAAAUCUGUGAUUACUAUAGACUAUAGAGGAAAUUGUGCAUAUCUUUACUGCAUGUCUUUAAAUCUUGCUCUGAGAUUUUAUGUUGACUUCUAAACUAUUCAAUACUAUUUUGCUAAGCUCACUAUCCUAAAGACUUCUGUGUGUAUUUGAAACAGUAAAUCAAGUGAAAGAGUGCAAUUUGUGCCCUAUAGUGAACUAUGCAAAUGAAGUCCAGUGAUCCAGAUUAUGUGAGCAUUGACAGGUAAACAGACUCUGUGCUAAAUCUGCAAUUUGAUCAGAAACCAAACAUGACUCAUUUAUUCAAAGAACAAUUAUUUAUGUUGCAACAUUAGCAAUUCAAAACAUUGUCUCCUUCUUUGAAUGUCAAUACUGUCUAUUCUGAAGGUGAAGUUACUGGUAAGUAUCUGAAGCCUAAAAUUUUAGGCAAACUUAUAUAUUUAAUAGUGAUAAUAUUAUCUUUUAAUAAUAAAAUUUAAUCUUAAAAUUAUUUUUAAUUAUAGAGAAGUUUCAAAAAUAGUGCAAAGUUCCCAUGUCCCCUUCAGCCAGCUUCCCUUAACGUUAAUCUAUUACAUCACCAAAAAUAAUUCAUUUGUCAAAACUAAGAAAUUAGUAUUAGCAGAAUAUCUAACUAAAUCAUAAAAUUCAUCAGUUUUCUUCUUUUUCUGCUCCAGGAUUUAAUCCAGAGUACUGCGUUGGCAUUUAGUCAUUAUGUCUGGUCUGCAACAGUUACCCAACACUCCAGAUUUUCAGGCCCUUGUUACACUUUUGUUCAACUUAUAUCAUAAUGUGCUCAUCAGUUUCAAUUUGUGUGAUAUUUCUUAUGAUGACAUGAGGUAGAGAUGAGGUGCCCUCCUCAUAUAUUAUAGAAAAGUAAAUAAUAGUCAACAUUACUUAUACUGGUAAUAUGAUCUGUGGUCAUUGAUUCAGGUGAUUUCUGCUGAAGUUUUUUUUUUUUUUAUCACAUUUGAUUUGUUGUAAGUUAGUUACUAAGUGCAGCUUGUGCUUAUGAGGAAUUGAAUUCAGCUCCAUCUCAUGGAGGGGGUGGUUAAAAUUUAUAUUUGCAUAAAAAAUGAUAGACCAUACACAGAAAAUUUUUUUGAAAAGUUUAUUGUCUUACCCAGAAAGCAUAGUGUUUGACUUAUGCCUACAAUAUAAGGAGAGACUGCCAACUCAAAUCCCUUUCCUAAAAAUAUAGUUUUAUUGUUUAUGUUCCAAGCAAAGAUCAAUUGGGCUUCACACUAUAUACUCUGAACACUGAUAAUACCAACUAACUAACUUAAUCAAGCCUGUAAGCAAUUAAAUAUAAUUAAAUGUUAUUGUGUGGUGGUUGUACCAAUAAUCACAUAUAGAUUGGUAAUUAUAUGAUUAUCUUCUUAUUAUUUAUAAUCACUUUGAAAUGAGAAAUAUAAAUUAAGAUAUAUUUUCUCCCUUGAAAAAAAUUUAUAAUUGAGUGGCAAACCUUUCAAAAAGUUGCUUUAUAAUUAAACAAGAAGAUUUGUGUCAAUAAAGAACAAAAAACGGGCUCAUGGGAACAGGCCAAGCACAUGCCAGGAAACUCAAGAGCGUGGAUGAUUUUGAGGCACGUGAGCCAAAGACCAUACUGAGACACAUGGGUCAGGGAAGAUCAAAGUUGGUUUUCAAAUGUCAUGCUCUACUGAGCCCACUGAUGUGUUGUGUUUAGCCAUUAGAGUUCAAAACCCACUGUACUUAUAAAUAAUGUUUCAACAACUGAAAAUCUUCCCAUAAAAAUCUGAGUUCCUGACAUAUCUUGGAAAACUAAAAUAUCUGGCGAUGCUAAGCUGUCAGCCCACAUAGUGAGGGUCAGUGAAUGCUGAGUGGUUAGUGCCCCUUUUUGUCAUUUCCAGCAUGCUCCAGCUCCCAAAGCUCCUCUACAGGAACUGCGACUCAGGCUAAUUGCCUGUCUGUUUACUCAUGGGCUGCUUGCUUACUGAUUUUCCCAAAUGGCUUCCGUAGGUGUUUGAGUUUCUGAUCUUCAUCUGGCAUUCUUGUAUGAACAUCAUGAAGAAAAUGAAGAAACAAUCUUCUAGAAAAAUUUUUGAUUGAUAGAUCCACCACAUCUCCAAACAAAGCAGCUUUCCCCACUCCUGGUCUGAAAGAAAAAACUAAGAAGUCAGCAUUGAUACGUAUGUACUUUCACAUCUGACAUUUUGUCCAUUGUCAUUUCUGCACAAUAAUUCCAAGAUCUUUCCCAUUUUCCCCCCAUUUCUCAGGUCAUCCUGUCCACCUGCAAUUCGCUCUGCAAACUCCUCAUGACCUCUACACCCCAUUCUAUUCCUGGAUGUGAUGGCCAAUCCUAAGUAAUCCUGUGCUCUAUUUGAUUUCCUACCCUAAUCUGUGAAGUGACCUUUUGUUGUCCUCAGCAUAAUGAAACACACAGCUUCCAAGUCUUUCUAGAUCUCUCAGGAUUAACAUCUCUUUUCUGUAAAUCUGAAUUUCCUAUCUAUUCAAAAACUUUUAUUUACCAGUUACAGUAAACUAUUGUAGAAAAAAAGAUCUUGCCAAAAUUUGACUAUUUUAAGUAUCCUUCUAUUUAAAUAUUGCAACAGUGUCUAGGGUAAAUACUAUAAUCAAAUCUUAAGAGUUUUGCACUUUAGUGCCCCAUUCAAUUGCAGAAUAGCUGUAUUAUACCGCAUGGCCUCUGCUCUUUAAUACAUGAAUAGAUUCUCCCAGCCUCUAGAUUCCUAGGAUAUAUAUAUGUAGAUAUAGAUAUAGAUAUAUAGAUAUAGAUGAAAGACAUGGAAUAUCAUUUUCUUUCAUCUCAAAGACUUGGAGAAUUAUAGGGCCUAGCAGAGGAUUAACACCUCUGGUGGAGGUCAUACAUAAAAAUUAAAAUAUCAUUUUUCAUUGUGCUGUGCUAUACAUUGCUACUGAAGCUGCAGAGAAGUUCUCAUUACCUCUCUUCAAAAACAUUGUAAAUUUUGUUAAUGCCAGCAUCCUGCCAUGAAUGCCAAUUGUAUUAUUUGAUAUUUUUUUCACUGUUUUUUUUUCCCUUUCCUAGAACAAAGGGCAAAUGAAUCAAGGCUUGUCCUUGUCCUACACAUUAUGACCCCAUGUAA